AGAAGGGAAACCAAGGCUUUUACUCAAAUAAGACAUAAUUAACUCUUGCAGAGCACAAGUGACCUCAAAUCCCCACACUGGGGGGGGACGGGGGGGACAACGCACACCAAAAAAAAAAAGUUUUACUUCAUCCUGGGAGUUUGGGAUCUGUGGGAGGGAGGCUGGGAGAAAGCUAUAGAGAACUACAGAAAGCGGUCCGUGUGAAAGUUGAAACAAAUAAUUAGGGUAAGCAGGAAGUAGUAUAAAGACAGGAAGAGAAAGUCAGAAGAAUGGGUAAUACCCAGGGCAGCAUUUUAAAGAACAGCCCCCGGGGUGUGUAUUGGCUCACUGGAAAUACAUCGUUGGGACUGGGGGAACAGAAAGUAGAGACAUCCUUAUCAGAUAUUGUAAUCAAUGGUGGCCGUUGUAUAAAUUAGAAGGCAAAGCUAAGUGGUCAUUAAAUGGAUCUAUAGAUUAUAACACUCUCUUACAGCUAAUGUUGUUUUUAAGGAGAGAAGGGAAGUGGGAUGAAGUGUCAUAUGCAGACAUGUUUUUCACCCUCCAAAAUCAUCCGGAGUGGCAAAGGGACUGUGGGGUGGUGCCACCACAGGACCCUAUGGUACUUGCACUUGAGCGAGAAAAUAAUAAGGGACUUAAAGGUAAUCUAAGGCAUUGUUGUUCAGCAUGUAGCAUUGGACAAAGGUGCACUGAAGUAGAUAAAAUUCAUCAGGCACCAGAACAAGAUCUAACUGAUUUGUUUAAGCCUCCCCCUCGACCACAGGAAAGGGAUGCAGACUCGUAUGGAAACCCCACUCCCCCGGACAGUCCCAUAUCUUCCCGCACAAGGAAGAAAACUGCUUCUGGGACUGUCUCUACAGCCUUACAAGCCCCUCUUCAGGAGGCAGUAGGGCCUGAUGGGGGAACAAUGAUGAUCAAAGUGCCCUUUUCUACCACCAACCUAGGGGAGUGGAGAAAGGCUGUAAAAGAUUAUAGAAACGACCCAAUCCAAAGUGGGACGCGAAUAGGACUGCACAUAUGGAAAGACUGCAGGCGUAUCAGGAAUGGAUUUCGAAGGGAAUGAAGAGGGCUAUCCCCAAAACUAUAAAUUGGUCAGCUUUAUAUGCAGUUAAACAGGGUCCUUCCGAGUCCCCAUCUGAAUUCCUGGAUCGUUUGAGGGAUGUAAUGUGGCGUAGCACGCUGCUGGAUCCUGGGUCAGAGACUUGAAAGAUGCUUUCUUUUACCUCCCUCUCCAUGAAGCCAGCCAAAAAUUAUUUGCAUUCGAAUGGGAGAACCCCAAAAGUGGUCGUAAGACUCAGCUCACUUGGACAGUGUUGCCACAAGGAUUUAAGAACAGCCCUACCAUCUUUGGCAAUCAGCUCGCAAAAGACCUGGAAUCUUGAGAAAUCCCCUCUAAAGAAGGGAAACACUUACAAUACGUAGAUGAUAUCCUGAUCGCCACCAGAACAGAAGACUGUUGUAUGACCUGGACAGCAAGUCUAUUAAACUUCUUGGGGCUCC